AAAUCAGCAGGCAUGUCAGUUGGCACUUCUGGUUACAGACCAUUUUACGGUCAUACAUCAUUCAUAGCCGUAAAAGCCAUUUGCCCUCUGUCACCCAACCAAUCAGGAUCCAGCCAAGAGGAAGCGGAGCAGUAGCCUGGCAGUUUUCUCCAGGCUCCUCUGAAUUUCCUCAACCUGGUUCAGCAGAAUGUCACAGAAAAUUAACUCUCCGGGGUUAUUAGGGACCCCUUCCCUUCCCCCUCCCUACUAAGAAGCAAUGCGUGAUUUCAGGCUAAUAUUUGCCCCAAUCACAAGCAACACCUUGUGACGUCCGGGGUAAGAGAGCAGCGGGCAUUGCACGCAGGCCCGGCACAAUACCCGUCGCCUUGAACCACUCGAGUGAAGAGACAAAUAUUUUCCAAGAAAUAAGAUGCUUGAGUUGUCUGAACCCUGCCAAUGGACAAUGUGGCUGCUCCCCGAACCUCAAAAUCCCUCCAGUGUUACUAGGCAGAACCAUUCACCACUGUCUGGGACCCAAUCUGAAGGCAGUCGGUUGGCCCAUAUAAGUAUUUGCUAAAAUGAAGACGGUUCUCUCCCCUGAGUUCUGCCGCAGCUCAACUAACAGGCAACCUACAAGAGUUAUUUCAGGGCUAUCGAAUGGUUAUAAUUUAGGAUCCAUUUUACAAUCCCUCCAUACACAGGCGGAGAAGACUUUCACAAUGAAAACUGUAGCAAGCACCAACCACAGCCAACCUGCAGUUCCUUUUUGACCCGCCAUGUCGUUAUUAAUUGAAAAGUUAGCAUCAACUGGACAGCAUAGAUACUUUUACAAAUCUAUAGAGGCUUGAGCCGCGAGUUGCACAAAAACGGUCAUGGAGGAAAAUAACACAGAAGAAGUUGCCAGGAAAGAGCUAAAUGAACUUUCUCCUUGUUAAGAAAUGUUUAGGUCCUUUUGUUUGUAAAUGGCAGGUGGGUGGUACAAUUCCAGUGUAAUUUCAGAAAGCCAUCUUCUGAAUGUAAUAAACAUGUCUGCAAUAAUAGGAUUCAGAAAAUCGCAAAAUGCAUUCCAGAAACCCUUUGAUUGUGCAUACAGAACAGAGGAUUUAGCUAUAAUUGGCUAUAACACAGUUAUGGACGGCAAAUGACACACAGCGGAGCUGGGUGAUGUAGCAGCUCUGAUUAGCGACGGUAAGGUUCAGCUGAACAUCGUGAAUAAAACAGCAAGUGCACGGUGACACAGCACCUGCCCUCCCUCCCUUCCUCUCACCCACCUUCCCUCCCUCCCUUCUUCCCUCUCUUCCCGCCUCACUCCCUUCCUUCCUCACUGUCUCCCUUUCUGUUUAAUUGAAGCCUCAUAACUUAGACUAGAGAACUUAGUUUGUUAUUACCCAACGAAUCACAUGUCAGCCAAACCUUCCUUUUCUUCAGAGAGUCACAGUUGUGUGGAAGGGGGAAGUAGGAGCCCAUGGGGAAUUGACUUUUUGGAGAACUGGAUGUAAUUUGAAUCAAGAAUUAUAAUAGGAAAUAAACCAUUACAAUAAACAAGGAAACAUGUACACAA